AUUCUACUCUCUCCGUCCAGAAAUACUUGUCAGAAAAAUGGAUGUAUCUAGACGUAUUUUAGUUCUAUAUACAUCUACUUUUAUCUAUUUCUGUGACAAGUAAUUCCGGACGGAGGGAGUAUCAU
rfam:Triticum aestivum genome assembly, contig: Triticum_aestivum_CS42_TGACv1_scaffold_249468_3DL